CGCGUAGGCUGUUUACCAAGUCCGGGGUGAAAUCUUUCGGCUUAACCGGAAAAGUGCCUUGGAUACUGGUGAACUCGAGGGAGGUAGGGGCAUGUGGAACUUCCGGUGGAGCGGUGAAAUGCGUUGAUAUCGGAAGGAACGCCGGUGGCGAAAGCGACGUGCUGGCCCUCUUCUGACGCUGAGGCGCGAAAGCUAGGGGAGCAAACGG
rnacentral:rRNA from 1 species